rnacentral:rRNA from 1 species
GCGUAACGCGUAUACAAUCUACCUUUUGCUAAGGGAUAGCCCAGAGAAAUUUGGAUUAAUAUCUUAUAGUAUGUUGCAUUCGCAUGGGGGCAAUAUUAAAGGUUACGGCAAAAGAUGAGUAUGCGUUCUAUUAGCUGGAUGGUGUGGUAACGGCACACCAUGGCGACGAUAGAUAGGGGCCCUGAGAGGGGGAUCCCCCACACUGGUACUGAGACACGGACCAG